rnacentral:rRNA from 1 species
CAGCAGCCGCGGGAAUACGUAGGGUGCAAGCGUUAAUCGGAAUUACUGGGCGUAAAGCGUGCGCAGGCGGUUAUAUAAGACAGAUGUGAAAUCCCCGGGCUCAACCUGGGAACUGCAUUUGUGACUGUAUAGCUAGAGUACGGCAGAGGGGGAUGGAAUUUCGCGUGUAGCAGUGAAAUGCGUAGAUAUGCGGAGGAACACCGAUGGCGAAGGCAAUCCCCUGGGCUUGUACUGACGCUCAUGCGCGAAAGCGUGGGGAGCAAACAGGAUUAGAUACCCGAGUAGUCCCUGUCUCUUAUAU